GAACUUAAGCAUAUCAAUAAGCGGAGGAAAAGAAACUAACAAGGAUUCCCCUAGUAACUGCGAGUGAAGCGGGAAAAGCUCAAAUUUAAAAUCUGGCGUGCCUCUGGUCGUCCGAGUUGUAGUUUAGAGAAGCGUUUUCUGUGUUGGACCGUGUAUAAGUCUCUUGGAACAGGGCGUCAUAGAGGGUGAGAAUCCCGUCUUUGACACGGACUACCAAUGCUUUGUGAUACGCUCUCAAAGAGUCGAGUUGUUUGGGAAUGCAGCUCAAAAUGGGUGGUAAAUUCCAUCUAAAGCUAAAUAUAGGCGAGAGACCGAUAGCGAACAAGUACCGUGAGGGAAAGAUGAAAAGCACUUUGGAAAGAGAGUUAAACAGUACGUGAAAUUGCUGAAAGGGAAACACUUGAAGUCAGUCACGUCUGCCAGGACUCAGCCUUGCUUCUGCUUGGUGUACUUUCUGGUUGGAUGGGCCAACAUCGAUUUCGACCGUUGGAGAAAGGCUUUGGGAAUGUGGCACCUUCGGGUGUGUUAUAGCCCUUUGUCGUAUACAAUGGUUGGGAUCGAGGACUGCAGCAUGCCUUCAUGGCCGGGGUUCGCCCACGUACAUGCUUAGGAUGUUGGCAUAAUGGCUUUAAGCGACCCGUCUUGAAACACGGACCAAGGAGUCUAACAUGCCUGCGAGUGUUUGGGUGGAAAACCCAUGCGCGUAAUGAAAGUGAUAGCUGAGAUCCUCUCAUCAGGAGCAUCAGCGCCUGGACUUGAUCUACGGAGACGGUUCUACGGUAGAGCAUGUAUGUUGGGACCCGAAA
rnacentral:rRNA from 1 species